rnacentral:tmRNA from 1 species
GGGGGCGAAAAGGUUUCGACUGAAGAAGCGGAACGAUGUAAGCAUGCGGAGGAUGAUCGUUGGCCUCCUAAAUCAUCGGUCAAAAAAGUAACUGCGAACACUGAGUACGCACUCGCGGCAUAGCCCGUGACGUCUCUUCCCUGAUGCCUGAUACGGGACGAGGCGCAAACAUCAGGCUGGCCAGGAGCAUCGGGCAAUCGGAUGCCACCAGCAAGAAAGAACAGAUCUGCUGCUCCCGCUGUCGUCUGCAUGGCGCAUAAGCGGCGGGAAAAGACAAAAGCCCAUGCUAAGCAUGUAGAAAACAUCGGGCAGUUUCUCCAGGACCGGGGUUCAACUCCCCGCGCCUCCACCA